UACGUAGGGUGCGAGCGUUAUUCGGAUUUACUGGGCGUAAAGCGCAUGUAGGCGGUUUUAUAAGUCUGAUGUGAAAGCCCUGGACUCAAUCCAGGAAGUGCAUUGGAUACUGUAAGACUAGAGUAUAGGAGAGGUUGGCGGAAUUCCUGGUGUAGAGGUGAAAUUCGUAGAUAUCAGGAGGAACAACAGAGGCGAAGGCGGCUAACUGGACUAUAACUGACGCUGAGAUGCGAAAGCGUGGGGAGCAAACAGG
rnacentral:rRNA from 1 species